UUGCGAUAACGAACGAGACCUUAACCUGCUAACUAGUCCGUAUUACCCCGGUAGUACGCCGACUUCUUAGAGGGACUAUCGGCUCAAGCCGAUGGAAGUUUGAGGCAAUAACAGGUCUGUGAUGCCCUUAGAUGUUCUGGGCCGCACGCGCGUUACACUGACGGGGCCAGCGAGUCCUUCCUUGGCCGAAAGGCCCGGGUAAUCUUGUGAAACCCCGUCGUGCUGGGGAUAGAGCAUAAACAAUUAUUGCUCUUCAACGAGGAAUCCCUAGUAAGCGCAAGUCAUCAGCUUGCGUUGAUUACGUCCCUGCCCUUUGUACACACCGCCCGUCGCUACUACCGAUUGAAUGGCUCAGUGAGGCUUCCGGACUGGCCCGGAAUGGGGGGCGACCCCCGUCCUGGGCCGGAAAGUUA
rnacentral:rRNA from 1 species